UACGAAGGAUGCAAGCGUUAUCCGGAUUCACUGGGUUUAAAGGGUGUGCAGGUGGGGUAAUAAGUCAGUGGUGAAAGCCCCCGACUCAAUCGGGGAACUGCCAUAGAUACUGUUAUUCUUGAGUGUGGUUGAGGUGGAUGGAAUAUGACAUGUAGCGGUGAAAUGCUUAGAUAUGUCAUAGAACACCGAUCGCGAAGGCAGUCCGCCAAACCAUUACUGACACUGAAACACGAAAGUGCGGGGAUCAAACAGG
rnacentral:rRNA from 1 species